GACUCUCGGCAACGGAUAUCUCGGCUCUCGCAUCGAUGAAGAACGUAGCGAAGUGCGAUACUUGGUGUGAAUUGCAGAAUCCCGCGAACCAUCGAGUCUUUGAACGCAAGUUGCGCCCAAGGCGACUUCGCCGAGGGCACGCCUGCCUGGGCGUCACGCAUAC
rnacentral:rRNA from 1 species